rnacentral:rRNA from 1 species
GACGAACGCUGGCGGCGUGCCUAAUACAUGCAAGUAGAACGCUGAAGGAGGAGCUUGCUUCUCCGGAUGAGUUGCGAACGGGUGAGUAACGCGUAGGUAACCUGCCUGGUAGCGGGGGAUAACUAUUGGAAACGAUAGCUAAUACCGCAUAAGAGUAGAUGUUGCAUGACAUUUGCUUAAAAGGUGCAAUUGCAUCACUACCAGAUGGACCUGCGUUGUAUUAGCUAGUUGGUGGGGUAACGGCUCACCAAGGCGACGAUACAUAGCCGACCUGAGAGGGUGAUCGGCCACACUGGGACUGAGACACGGCCCAGACUCCUACGGGAGGCAGCGGUAGGGAAUCUUCGGCAAUGGACGGAAGCCUGACCGAGCAACGCCGCGUGAGUGAAGAAGGUUUUCGGAUCGUAAAGCUCUGUUGUAAGAGAAGAACGAGUGUGAGAGUGGAAAGUUCACACUGUGACGGUAUCUUACCAGAAAGGGACGGCUAACUACGUGCCAGCAGCCGCGGUAAUACGUAGGUCCCGAGCGUUGUCCGGAUUUAUUGGGCGUAAAGCGAGCGCAGGCGGUUAGAUAAGUCUGAAGUUAAAGGCUGUGGCUUAACCAUAGUACGCUUUGGAAACUGUUUAACUUGAGUGCAAGAGGGGAGAGUGGAAUUCCAUGUGUAGCGGUGAAAUGCGUAGAUAUAUGGAGGAACACCGGUGGCGAAAGCGGCUCUCUGGCUUGUAACUGACGCUGAGGCUCGAAAGCGUGGGGAGCAAACAGG